AACGCUGGCGGCGUGCCUAAUACAUGCAAGUGGGACGCAAGGAAACACACUGUGCUUGCACACCGUGUUUUCUUGAGUCGCGAACGGGUGAGUAACGCGUAGGUAACCUGCCUAUUAGCGGGGGAUAACUAUUGGAAACGAUAGCUAAUACCGCAUAAUAUUAAUUAUUGCAUGAUAAUUGAUUGAAAGAUGCAAGCGCAUCACUAGUAGAUGGACCUGCGUUGUAUUAGCUAGUUGGUAAGGUAAGAGCUUACCAAGGCGACGAUACAUAGCCGACCUGAGAGGGUGAUCGGCCACACUGGGACUGAGACACGGCCCAGACUUCUACGGGAGGCAGCAGUAGGGAAUCUUCGGCAAUGGACGAAAGUCUGACCGAGCAACGCCGCGUGAGUGAAGAAGGUUUUCGGAUCGUAAAGCCCUGUUGUAAGUCAAGAACGUGUGUGAGAGUGGAAAGU
rnacentral:rRNA from 1 species